AUUGAACGCUGGCGGCAGGCCUAACACAUGCAAGUCGAACGAGUGGCGGACGGGUGAGUAAUGUCUGGGAAACUGCCUGAUGGAGGGGGAUGAAUACUGGAAAAGGUAGCUAAUACCGCAUAACAUCGGAUGUGGCCAGAUUGGAUUAGCGAGUAGGUGGGGUAAAGGCUCACCUAGGCGACGAUCCCUAGCUGGUCUGAGAGGCUGACCAGCCACACUGGAACGUGGACACGGGCCAGACUCCUACGGGAGGCAGCAGUGGGGAAUAUUGGACAAUUGGCGCAAGCCUGAUGCAGCCAUGCCGCGUGUAUGAAGAAGGCCUUCGGGGUGUAAAGUACUUUCAGCGGGGAGGCGUUACCCAAACAAGAAGCACCGGCUAACUCCGUGCCAGCAGCCGCGGUAAUAC
rnacentral:rRNA from 1 species